CAGUAGCCGCGGGAAUACGUAGGGUGCAAGCGUUAAUCGGAAUUACUGGGCGUAAAGCGUGCGCAGGCGGUUUGUUAAGACAGAUGUGAAAUCCCCGGGCUUAACCUGGGAACUGCAUUUGUGACUGGCGGGCUAGAGUAUGGCAGAGGGGGGUAGAAUUCCACGUGUAGCAGUGAAAUGCGUAGAGAUGUGGAGGAAUACCGAUGGCGAAGGCAGCCCCCUGGGCCAAUACUGACGCUCAUGCACGAAAGCGUGGGGAGCAAACAGGAUUAGAUACCCCUGUAGUCCCUGUCUCUUAUAC
rnacentral:rRNA from 1 species